rnacentral:rRNA from 1 species
AUUGAACGCUGGCGGCAUGCUUUACACAUGCAAGUCGAGCGGCAGCGCGGGGGCAACCCUGGCGGCGAGCGGCGAACGGGUGAGUAAUGCGUCGGAACGUACCCUGGAGUGGGGGAUAACGCCGCGAAAGCGGCGCUAAUACCGCAUAUGCUCUGAGGAGGAAAGUGGGGGACCGCAAGGCCUCACGCUCUGGGAGCGGCCGAUGUCCGAUUAGCUAGUUGGUGGGGUAAAGGCUUACCAAGGCGCCGAUCGGUAGCUGGUCUGAGAGGAUGAUCAGCCACACUGGGACUGAGACACGGACCAGACUCCUACGGGAGGCAGCAGUGGGGAAUUUUGGACAAUGGGGGCAACCCUGAUCCAGCCAUGCCGCGUGAGUGAAGAAGGCCUUCGGGUUGUAAAGCUCUUUUGGUCGGGAAGAAAGUGCCUUGCUUAAUACGCGGGGUAUUUGACGGUACCGGCAGAAUAAGCACCGGCUAACUACGUGCCAGCCGCCGCUGUAAAAC